rnacentral:rRNA from 1 species
UACAGAGGCCUCGAGCGUUAGGCGGAAUCACUGGGCUUAAAGCGUGUGUAGGCGGAGUUCUAAAGUACCUUGUGAAAUCCCCACGGCUCAACCUGUGGAACUGCUUGGUAUACUGGUUCUCUUGAGGUACCUAGGGGGCGAGCGGAACAAGUGGUGGAGCGGUGAAAUGCGUAGAUAUCACUUGGAACGCCAACGGUGAAAACAGCUCGCUGGGGGUAUCCUGACGCUGAGACACGAAAGCCAGGGGAGCAAACGGG